AGGGGCCCAUUCCCUCCCUCCUUUACUUCUUCAGACAGGGUCUCUUUGUCCAGUUCUGGAUGUCCAGAAACUUGCUGUGUAAACCAGGCCUUAAACCUAGAGAUCUACCUGCCUCUGCCUCCUGAGUGCUCCGUAGUAACUUCCCUGCCUCGUGUGCCUGAGGCCUAGGGUUUGAUUCCUUAGCACAAGGUGCACAGUGGGAAGGGCUGUUUUUUUUUUUAAAUAGAAGUGUUGGAAGAGACAAACUAUUGUGCUAUGUAGCACUGCCUUGUUGCUAGAAGAUACUAGGAGCUGUGACAAGCUGCCCCUCUCUUAUCUUUACUUCUGUGGCCUCCUGGAAACCCUCUCUUCUGGGCGGAUUGUGAGGAUGUCUCAUGGGGUUGGGGGAACACUUGCCUAGAAUGAAUGACACCCUGAGUUCCAUCCCAAGUACGGGGUUGGGGGGAGGAUGGAGCCACUCCAACAAGUGGAGCCCUGGUCAGUCAGAGUGAGGUUCAAGCCAUCCCGUGCUCUCUUCUGCACUGAGUCUUCUCUCCUAGGGAAGGUUUCCAUGGGUGCAGCUACCUCACAUUCGAACCUUGGCCUCCAAUUGUGAUCACGCUUAAGUGUGACAGUAAAGUUGGUCUGUACCUCACCUGUCCAGUCUAGUGGCCUCUAUGAGAUGUGGCUGGCUGGUGACAGUAGGAAUGUAAAUCUAUGUACUUAAUUUUGAGACAAUACUUCUCUCUGUAGCCCAGGCUGGCCUCAAAUGCAUAAGGGUUGGAAGUACAAUCACAAGACACGACACCCAGCUUUUGUUUUAAUAGAAUCACCUGGGAAUGACUGUUUUGAACAGUAUGGCUUUGGCUAGUUCCCAACCUGGCUCUCCCCUUUCCACUCAGAAACAGAGACGCUGCUGCACGUGCAAGUGGCCUGGAGGCCAGGACUAAUUCUGACAGAGCCUCCUCUCCAGCAGCUCAGGGAGUGGCUGAGGGUCAGAGCCUUGGUCCUGUCAGGCCUCACUCACUCAUUAACCUAGGGAAUGAAGACCCAGAGCCUGGAGCUGCUGUGGACCUCUUGCCUCAAGCCAUCAUCUGUUCUCAGAAGACCCCAGUGCUACACGUCUUCAGUCUUGUGCCUCCAUUGAGUACAUGACCCACCACCAGGCAAAGGACACGUCACCUCUGGACGGCUGCCGGGUGGAGGCAAAGCUGUAGCUGCAUCCUCUUGGUCAACAGUGUUGAGCUCUGCACAUUUACUAGGAAGCUGUUUUGUGCCUGGCCCCAGGCCCUGUCUCUGAUGAGAAAUAAAAUGUCCAUGGGGCCAAAUACAUUUUUAUUUCAGUGUCUUUGAGACAAGUGUUUGCUAUGUAGCCCAGGCUGACCUUGAACUCACAGCAGUCCUUCAGAUGUUACACCACACCCAGCUUUCACUCAUGUAUGCUAGGGAAAAUCACAAUGUUUCUGGUAGGGAUGGAGAAAGAGCACUUCCAUGCGGCUAGGGGUCUGAUCUUUAAGAGAAAACGUAAUCACAUUUACGGUGAGGGGAUGGCUCCCUGCCCCAGCCCCCAGGGCUUCUCCAGCCCACACCAGGGGCUCCCAGGCCUAGUUUUCCAGCAGAGUAGGCCAGGCACCUCUGGUAGAGCUGCAGAGAGGUAACUUGGGGGCUCUUGGGAGUGGAGGGCAGGGAUGGCUCCCAGUACUCACACAGAGGAAAGUAGGCUACUCGGAGACCAUGGCUGGCUAUUCUGGACACCAUGGCA
rnacentral:sRNA from 1 species